rnacentral:rRNA from 1 species
UACGUAGGGUGCGAGCGUUGUCCGGAAUUAUUGGGCGUAAAGAGCUUGUAGGCGGUUUGUCGCGUCUGCUGUGAAAUCUCAAGGCUCAACCUUGAGCUUGCAGUGGGUACGGGCAGACUAGAGUGUGGUAGGGGAGACUGGAAUUCCUGGUGUAGCGGUGAAAUGCGCAGAUAUCAGGAGGAACACCAAUUGCGAAGGCAGCUCGCUGGGACGUUACUGACGCUGAGACGCGAAAGCGUGGGGGAGCAAACAGG